rnacentral:rRNA from 1 species
AAGCGUUUUCUUGGGCUCGCGGCCGGUAGAAGUUCUUUGGAACAGGACAUCAUAGAGGGUGACAAUCCCGUCCGUGACCGGUCGUGCGUUCAUCUACGAUACGCUUUCAAAGAGUCGAGUUGUUUGGGAUUGAGCUCCAAAUGGGUGGUAAACAUCACCUAAGGCUAAAUAUUGGCGAGAGACCGAUAGCGAACAAGUACCGUGAGGGAAAGAUGAAAAGAACUUUGAAAAGAGAGUUAAACAGUACGUGAAAUUGUUGAAAGGGAAACGAUUGAAGUCAGUCGUGCUGGCGCGAAAUCAACCAUCUCGUCUUAAGGUCGCAUGGCGCGACGAGCCUCAAAACCGUCACGAAGUGUGAACUCUUGACGAAAAGGUGCACUUUCGUGUCCGCUGGUUAACAUCAAUUUCGACCGUCAUAAAAAGGCUGGAGGGAUGUGGCUCCUUCGGGAGUGUUAUAACCUUUAGCGGAAUGUGGUGUUCGGGAUUGAGGAUUGCAACGAAUACCUUCAGGGCUGUUCCACCUGGCUUCUCAUUGGUAUCCUGGUGACGACAGCUUGC